CUGAGCUGCAAGAUCUUCACUGAAGUACAACUGGACUUAUUUUUAGAAAAACUGCUCUGUUAAGAAGACCUUCGUGCCUGAUGAAGUUAGUUAUUCUGAUAAAUUACAGCUUCUACGAAGAAACCACACCCCUCUGAGUACGGAUGGAAGUUGGAAAAUUCAUAGAAAGCUGUCAUUUCCUGGCAGAGGCCUGGAAAACCUCAUUUAACAGAGAUGUCUUUGGGUUCCUGCUUAAGCCCAAGCGAAGGAUCCCGAUGCCCCCUCCCCAGCUGGGAAGAGGAGCUGGUGGCGUGAGUUGGCACAGAGCCGCACCUUUCUUUCUCCUCCUCCCCAGUCCCUUGGAAGCUCACACCCUCCACACCCUCCAGACACUGAGAGAAUGCAUGCCAGCAUGCCUGUGCCAGCGCGCCUGUGCCAGCACACCCGGGCCAGCACACCCGGGCCAGCAGAUCUUUCUCUGUGACUGAAGACAGCCGGCACUUCACAUCUUUGAAGGGUUUGUCUUUCUGGCAAUGACCUGCAGGAAGAAGGCAAGAAUGCCAUCAACUCACCGAUGUCCCCCGCCCUGGUGGAUGUUCACCCUGAAGACACCCAGCUUGAGGAGAACGAGGAGCGCACGAUGAUUGACCCCACUUC
rnacentral:lncRNA from 1 species